rnacentral:tRNA from 1 species
GGUCUCAUGGUGUAAUGGUUAGCACUCUGGACUCUGAAUCCAGCGAUCCGAGUUCAAAUCUCAGUGGGACCU